AGCGGCGAACGGGUGAGUAAUGCAUCGGAACGUGUCCCGUAGUGGGGGAUAACGCCGCGAAAGCGGCGCUAAUACCGCAUAUGCUCUACGGAGGAAAGUGGGGGACUCGCAAGAGCCUCACGCUAUGGGAGCGGCCGAUGUCCGAUUAGCUAGUUGGUGGGGUAAUGGCCUACCAAGGCGACGAUCGGUAGCUGGUCUGAGAGGAUGAUCAGCCACACUGGGACUGAGACACGGCCCAGACUCCUACGGGAGGCAGCAGUGGGGAAUUUUGGACAAUGGGGGCAACCCUGAUCCAGCCAUGCCGCGUGCGGGAAGAAGGCCUUCGGGUUGUAAACCUCUUUUAGCUGGGAAGAAAAGGACGAGGCUAAUACCUUCGUUUUUUGACGGUACCGGCAGAAUAAGCACCGGCUAACUACGUGCCAGCAGCCGCGGUAAUACGUAGGGUGCGAGCGUUAAUCGGAAUUACUGGGCGUAAAGCGUGCGCAGGCGGUUCGUUGUGUCUGUGGUGAAAGCCCCGGGCUUAACCUGGGAAUGGCCAUGGA
rnacentral:rRNA from 1 species